rnacentral:rRNA from 1 species
GACGAACGCUGGCGGCGUGCCUAACACAUGCAAGUCGAACGGCAAGGCCCUGCUUGUGUGGGGUGCUCGAGUGGCGAACGGGGGAGUAACACGUGAGUAACCUGCCCUUGUUUUUGGGAUAACUUCAGGAAACUGGGGCUAAUACCGGAUAGGAGAUCCCGCUGCAUGGUGGGCGGUGGAAAGUUUCGGCGGGCGGGGAUGGACGCGCGGCUGAUCAGCUAGUUGGUGGGGUAGUGGCGUACCAAGGCAUUGACGGGUAGCCGGCCUGUGAGUGUGACCGGCCACAGUGGGACUGAGGAGCGGCCCGUAGUGCAUCGGGGGGCAGCGGUGGGAAAUUUUGCCCAAUGGGCGGAGUCCGUGUGCAGCAACGCCGCGUGCGGGAUGACGGCUGUCGGGUUGGAAACCGCGUUCGCCUGUGACGAAGCGUGAGUGCCGGUACUGGAUAAUAAAGCACCGGCUAACUACGUG